AGGAAUUAAGAGGAGUGAAUUCCAAAUAGGUUCUGUUCUGUCCUGUUUUGUGGAUUGGUUGGCUUCAGCAGUAACUCAUCUUGGUCUCGGCAGCAACAAUCCUCUUGUCCCAAUAGCCACAGUAGCUAUGGAAUUGAGGUUGAGGCCGUCGGGAGAUAUUCCAGUCGCUAG